UACGAAGGGGGCUAGCGUUGUUCGGAAUUACUGGGCGUAAAGCGCGCGCAGGCGGCUCUUCAAGUCAGGGGUGAAAGCCCAGAGCUCAACUCUGGAACUGCCUUUGAGACUGAAGAGCUUGAGUACGGGAGAGGUGAGUGGAAUUCCCAGUGAUAGAGGUGAAAUUCGUAGAUAUUGGGAAGAACACCAGUGGUCGAAGGCGGCUGACUGGACAUGUAUUGACGCUGAGGUGCGAAAGCGUGGGGAGCAAACAGG
rnacentral:rRNA from 1 species